rnacentral:rRNA from 1 species
CCUACGGGUGGCUGCAGUGAGGAAUAUUGGUCAAUGGACGAGAGUCUGAACCAGCCAAGUAGCGUGAAGGAUGACUGCCCUAUGUGUUGUAAACUUCUUUUAUAUGGGAAUAAAACGUUCCACGUGUGGGAUUUUGUAUGUCCUAUAUGAAUAAGGAUCGGCUCACUCCGUGCCAGCAGCCGCGGUAAUACGGAGGAUCCGAGCGUUAUCCGGAUUUAUUGGGUUUAAAGGGAGCGUAGGUGGAUUGUUAAGUCAGUUGUGAAAGUUUGCGGCUCAACCGUAAAAUUGCAGUUGAAACUGGCAGUCUUGAGUACAGUAGAGGUGGGCGGAAUUCGUGGUGUAGCGGUGAAAUGCUUAGAUAUCACGAAGAACUCCGAUUGCGAAGGCAGUUCACUGGACUGCAACUGACACUGAGGCUCGAAAGUGUGGGUAUCAAACAGGAUUAGAUACCCCAGUAGUC